GAAAUGCGAUAAGUAAUGUGAAUUGCAGAAUUCCGUGAAUCAUCGAAUCUUUGAACGCACAUUGCGCCCUCUGGUAUUCCGGGGGGCAUGCCUGUCCGAGCGUCAUGGCGAACCCCUCAAGCACGGCUUGUGUGAUGGGCCCUCCCGCGUCUUGGUCGUCAAGACGGGCCCGAAAAGCAGUGGCGGCUUCGCGGUUAUCCGAUCAGCCAGAGCGUAUGGGGACUUUCUCUCUGUCACACGCCCGCGGCGCGGACCGACGCCUGUCGACCUUUAUUCAUCUUUUUCUCGGUUGACCUCGGAUCAGGUAGGGAUACCCGCUGAACUUAAGC
rnacentral:misc_RNA from 1 species